GUGAAGUCUAAGCAGUGAGCAAGGGAGCCUCUCCAAGGAGCUGUUUCAAUCCACUGGAUGUGCCAGGACUCACCAGGAAUAAAAGGAGUGGUUAUUAUUGAGUCGAGAAUUUUUGGGAAAAGUAACACGUGGAGAGUCAAUUUUUGAGUGGAAGGAGUCUGAAGAGAGGGUAGGAACCAACCUCCUACUACCCACCAGGUGCCUCAUCUCCAGACAUGGAGCCCAGCUAUGGGGGAGGUCUCUUUGACAUGGUAAAAGGAGGUGCAGGGAGGCUCUUUAGUAACCUAAAGGACAACUUGAAAGACACCCUCAAAGACACAUCUUCUAGGGUGAUACAAUCUGUGACCAGCUACACAAAGGGAGAUUUAGACUUCACUUAUGUUACCUCCAGAAUUAUUGUGAUGUCCUUUCCUCUGGACAAUGUUGACAUAGGAUUCAGGAAUCAGGUUGAUGACAUUCGAAGCUUUUUGGAUUCCAGACAUCUUGACCACUACACAGUAUACAAUCUGUCACCUAAGUCUUAUCGAACUGCCAAGUUUCACAGCC
rnacentral:sRNA from 1 species